rfam:Lutispora thermophila DSM 19022 genome assembly, contig: EJ66DRAFT_scaffold00007.7
UUCAUCAUGCGGGGGAACUGCUUGGCAGUUGAGAAGGUAAAACCUGACCCUUUGAACCUGUUGGUUAAUACCUACGUAGGGAAGCAGUGAAUAUUACAUU